rnacentral:rRNA from 1 species
UGGGGAAUUUUGGACAAUGGGCGAAAGCCUGAUCCAGCAAUGCCGCGUGUGUGAAGAAGGCCUUCGGGUUGUAAAGCACUUUUGUCCGGAAAGAAAUCCUUGGCUCUAAUACAGUCGGGGGAUGACGGUACCGGAAGAAUAAGCACCGGCUAACUACGUGCCAGCAGCCGCGGUAAUACGUAGGGUGCAAGCGUUAAUCGGAAUUACUGGGCGUAAGCGUGCGCAGGCGGUUUGCUAAGACCGAUGUGAAAUCCCCGGGCUCAACCUGGGAACUGCAUUGGUGACUGGGCAGGCUAGAGUAUGGCAGAGGGGGGUAGAAUUCCACGUGUAGCAGUGAAAUGCGUAGAGAUGUGGAGGAAUACCGAUGGCGAAGGCAGCCCCCUGGGCCAAAUACUGACGCUCAUGCACG